rnacentral:tRNA from 1 species
GGAUGUGUAGCUCAGUUGGAUAGAGCAGCGGAUUUCUACUCCGCAGGUCGAGCGUUCGAGCCGCUCCACAUUCA